rnacentral:rRNA from 1 species
CGCUGGCGGCAGGCCUAACACAUGCAAGUCGAGCGGAUGAAGGGAGCUUGCUCCUGGAUUCAGCGGCGGACGGGUGAGUAAUGCCUAGGAAUCUGCCUGGUAGUGGGGGAUAACGUCCGGAAACGGGCGCUAAUACCGCAUACGUCCUGAGGGAGAAAGUGGGGGAUCUUCGGACCUCACGCUAUCAGAUGAGCCUAGGUCGGAUUAGCUAGUUGGUGGGGUAAAGGCCUACCAAGGCGACGAUCCGUAACUGGUCUGAGAGGAUGAUCAGUCACACUGGAACUGAGACACGGUCCAGACUCCUACGGGAGGCAGCAGUGGGGAAUAUUGGACAAUGGGCGAAAGCCUGAUCCAGCCAUGCCGCGUGUGUGAAGAAGGUCUUCGGAUUGUAAAGCACUUUAAGUUGGGAGGAAGGGCAGUAAGUUAAUACCUUGCUGUUUUGACGUUACCAACAGAAUAAGCACCGGCUAACUUCGUGCCAGCAGCCGCGGUAAUACGAAGGGUGCAAGCGUUAAUCGGAAUUACUGGGCGUAAAGCGCGCGUAGGUGGUUCAGCAAGUUGGAUGUGAAAUCCCCGGGCUCAACCUGGGAACUGCAUCCAAAACUACUGAGCUAGAGUACGGUAGAGGGUGGUGGAAUUUCCUGUGUAGCGGUGAAAUGCGUAGAUAUAGGAAGGAACACCAGUGGCGAAGGCGACCACCUGGACUGAUACUGACACUGAGGUGCGAAAGCGUGGGGAGCAAACAGGAUUAGAUACCCUGGUAGUCCACGCCGUAAACGAUGUCGACUAGCCGUUGGGAUCCUUGAGAUCUUAGUGGCGCAGCUAACGCGAUAAGUCGACCGCCUGGGGAGUACGGCCGCAAGGUAAAACUCAAAGGAAUUGACGGC